UACGGGGGGAGCAAGCGUUGUUCGGAUUUACUGGGCGUAAAGGGCGCGUAGGCGGCCACCGCAAGUCGACUGUGAAAUCUCCGGGCUUAACCCGGAAAGGUCAGCCGAUACUGCGGGCUAGAGUGCAGAAGGGGCAACUGGAAUUCUCGGUGUAGCGGUGAAAUGCGUAGAUAUCGAGAGGAACACCUGCGGCGAAGGCGGGUUGCUGGGCUGACACUGACGCUGAGGCGCGAAAGCUAGGGAGCGAACGG
rnacentral:rRNA from 1 species